AGAGAGAGACAUGCGCGCAUAUCAAUAAGCGGAGGAAAAGAAACUAACUAGGAUUCCCUCAGUAACGGCGAGUGUAAGCGGGAAGAGCUCAAAUUUGAAAUCUUCAAGGUUCUACCUUGACGAAUUGUAGUUUAAAGAAGUGUUUUCUGUUGGAGUUUUGGUAAAAGUUCUUUGGAAUAGGACAUCAUAGAGGGUGAGAAUCCCGUAUUUGACCAUUAUCUCCAGCUUUGUGAUACACUUUCAAAGAGUCGGAUUGUUUGGGAAUGCAGUCCAAAAUGGGUGGUAAAUUUCAUCUAAAGCUAAAUAUUGGCGAGAGACCGAUAGCGAACAAGUACCGUGAGGGAAAGAUGAAAAGAACUUUGAAAAGAGAGUUAAACAGUACGUGAAAUUGUCAAAAGGGAAGCGUUUGACACCAGUGUUGUUUUCUCGAAAAUCAAUUAAAAAGAGGCAGGAUUUUGUGUUGUAUUGACCUUUAAUCAGCUUUCUGCACUCAAUUUUCUUGUCUUUUUUUAAUGCACUUUUCGUUUAACAAGUCAACAUCAGUUUCUUUUGUUGUAAAAAGGGUCAUUGGAAGGUGGCUUUCUUUUCGGAGAAAGUGUUUAUAGCCUUUGGCCUCUGCAAUCGGAGAGAUUGAGGUCUGCAGCGUAGAUCCUUCGGGGUUAGAUACAUUUGUGCUAAGUUAUAGCCUUUCAUAGACAACUUGUUGACUAUGAUCAGUCAUGUAGCUUACUCGCUUAUGCUAUUUUACCUACGCUUAGGAUGUUGAUGUGAUACUGCGAGCA
rnacentral:rRNA from 1 species